rnacentral:rRNA from 1 species
AGUGAACGCUGGCGGUAGGCCUAACACAUGCAAGUCGAACGGCAGCACAGUAAGAGCUUGCUCUUACGGGUGGCGAGUGGCGGACGGGUGAGGAAUACAUCGGAAUCUACUUUUUCGUGGGGGAUAACGUAGGGAAACUUACGCUAAUACCGCAUACGACCUACGGGUGAAAGCAGGGGAUCUUCGGACCUUGCGCGAUUGAAUGAGGCGAUGUCGGAUUAGCUAGUUGGCGGGGUAAAGGCCCACCAUGGCGACGAUCCGUAGCUGGUCUGAGAGGAUGAUCAGCCACACUGGAACUGAGACACGGUCCAGACUCCUACGGGAGGCAGCAGUGGGGAAUAUUGGACAAUGGGCGCAAGCCUGAUCCAGCCAUACCGCGUGGGUGAAGAAGGCCUUCGGGUUGUAAAGCCCUUUUGUUGGGAAAGAAAAGCAGCAGGUUAAUACCCCGCUGUUCUGACGGUACCCAAAGAAUAAGCACCGGCUAACUUCGUG